rnacentral:rRNA from 1 species
GAUGAACGCUGGCGGCGUGCCUAAUACAUGCAAGUCGAGCGAACGGACGAGGAGCUUGCUCCUCUGACGUUAGCGGCGGACGGGUGAGUAAUACGUGGAUAACCUACCUAUAAGACUGGGAUAACUUCGGGAAACCGGAGCUAAUACCGGAUAAUAUAUUGAACCGCAUGGUUCAAUAGUGAAAGACGGUUUUGCUGUCACUUAUAGAUGGAUCCGCGCCGCAUUAGCUAGUUGGUAAGGUAACGGCUUACCAAGGCAACGAUGCGUAGCCGACCUGAGAGGGUGAUCGGCCACACUGGAACUGAGACACGGUCCAGACUCCUACGGGAGGCAGCAGUAGGGAAUCUUCCGCAAUGGGCGAAAGCUUGACGGAGCAACGCCGCGUGAGUGAUGAAGGUCUUCGGAUCGUAAAACUCUGUUAUUAGGGAAGAACAAAUGUGUAAGUAACUAUGCACGUCUUGACGGUACCUAAUCAGAAAGCCACGGCUAACUACGUG